UACGGGGGGGGCAAGCGUUGUUCGGAAUUACUGGGCGUAAAGGGCUCGUAGGUGGCCAACUAAGUCAGACGUGAAAUCCCUCGGCUUAACCGGGGAACUGCGUCUGAUACUGGAUGGCUUGAGUUCGGGAGAGGGAUGCGGAAUUCCAGGUGUAGCGGUGAAAUGCGUAGAUAUCUGGAGGAACACCGGUGGCGAAGGCGGCAUCCUGGACCGACACUGACACUGAGGAGCGAAAGCCAGGGGAGACAAAGCGGG
rnacentral:rRNA from 1 species